rnacentral:lncRNA from 15 species
UAAAUAACCAGGACUCUUCUUUUUUUUUUUUUUUUUCUUUUAAAUAUGAAUUAUCUGCCGCUAUUCUUUAUUUUCUUUUCCCUUUUUUUAAAUUACUACUAGUAGAAGUGGUGCUUGUAAACAUGUCUAUUAAUGUGGAAUCGGGUUGUUCCAGCACACGUAUAUAAAAACAUUUUAAAAAUCAGGCAUGGAUCAAAUAAUCAGAAUCCUUUAAGGCUGAACUGAUUGUAAUUAUUUAAGUGCGAAUAUCUUUAAAAUGGAUGUUCACCAAAAGCAACUCCAAUCACCCACGAUGCUCCUGGCACUGCAGGCUCGGAAAGACUUUCUAGCAGCCUUAAAAUCAUAACUUUUUUCAUGGAUAAUCAUGUCUGUAGGUGGCGAAAUGACACUUUACAGGAGCUAGGACGCGUCUUCUGGUUCAAUCUAGAGCAGAACAUUGAGAGGAUUUUGUUUACUUUGACCCAGAUCUGAUUGUACAGGCAGUUAUUUUCAGCCAAGAAGCAGCUCUGUAGAAUAUAUUCAUGGUCUGGGGGGGUUGGCGAACCCAGACAGGUUUGUGUUUCACAGACAAACAUUGGACCUAAUUGUAAAUAAAAUAAAAAGUUGAGGCAGCCUUUACAGAAAGUACGGUGUGAACGGACAUUAGUGUGUUUUUAAAAAGCAGCUGCAGUAGAUAUUAUGAGAUUUGUCCUGUGUUCAUGUUUUUGUCAUUCCCGCUUUAUCCCCCCCUUUUCAAAGCCCCGCCCACCCCCAGAAACAUCUAAUGAACCAAAACAAUUUCAUCAGCUUCAGCAUCUCCUCAGUUUGUGACAAAAAGAGCAUCUUCUAUAAUAACAACCAAUGAGGAACUGACCCAGAGAGACGAGCGUACAGUGACAUAGUUUACACAGAUCACCACGCAGCACUGAUGGACGACUGCUGGCACUGCAGACUCGAGCCCGUCUGUUUGAAUGGAUCCGCGGCCGGAGAGCGAGAAGAUGUUUGUGAUCUGACUACGUGUUGUUGUUGUUGUUGUUGUCGAUGUUGUUGUUGUUAUUGUUGAGGUUCAGAAUAAUGGUUGACAAUCUGGAGUGUCAUCUCACCACCUUCUUUUGUUAGAAAAUGGAAAACAGAAACACUGGAAUGUCAAAAGCUUUUUUUAAAUAAAAAAAAAAGUAAAUGUGAGAAUUUGGUUUGUGAAAUGUUUUGAUUUGUUUGUUUUUUCAGGUUGUCGAGUCGGAGUCUCAAACUCAAACGCACCAAACAAACUGUGUAUAUGAAGGGUUAAUUUAUAAUAAUAUGAAACAACUAGAAAAUAAAUGAAAUAAUCUAAUAUUUAUAUCUAAUAUAAUUAUAUUAUAUUUGGAGGGCUGGAAAUAGUCAGCAGUUUGAGACCCCUGUUGUUGAGCUUCUUUCAGUUCAUAGACAGAAAAUUAAUCUUCAGCUACAUCAAUAAUUCAUGAAUUGUUUCAGUCCAACAUUGACUGCAGCUGCUCCGAUGUGAGGAUUUGUUGAUCUUUUGUCGUAUGUGAUAUAUUCACUGAGCUUUAGCUGUUGGGUCAAACACAGUAAUUUGAAGAAGGCGUCGUGUGCUGAAAAGCUGUGGGAAAUUUUCACUGUUUUCUUUCAUUUUAUUCGCAAAAACGGUUGAUAACGAGACAAUAAUUGUUGAUUUCAGCCACAGAAAGUUAUGUUCUUAAUCAUUUAUUAUGAUGCAAAGUUUCUCUAGUGUGAGGAACAGAACAUAUUUUGUCAGUUGGUUCUGAUGUUGCUGUUGACGGACUCCCAGUUAUACAGAAGUGAAUUAAUUUAUUUAAGUUUUGCUGAAAUUUCGCCUUUCGCUGAAUUUAUAGCACUAAAAUAGGGCUGCACGAUAUGAUUGAAAACAAUCAUAUUGGAAUGAUUUUGACAGAUAUUGUGAUUACGAUAUGAUUCACGAUUAUUGGGAGUGAUCAGUUUUGCAUCACAACU